rnacentral:rRNA from 1 species
GAUGAACGCUGGCGGCGUGCCUAAUACAUGCAAGUCGAGCGAAUGGAUUAAGAGCUUGCUCUUAUGAAGUUAGCGGCGGACGGGUGAGUAACACGUGGGUAACCUGCCCAUAAGACUGGGAUAACUCCGGGAAACCGGGGCUAAUACCGGAUAACAUUUUGAACCUCAUGGUUCGAAAUUGAAAGGCGGCUUCGGCUGUCACUUAUGGAUGGACCCGCGUCGCAUUAGCUAGUUGGUGAGGUAACGGCUCACCAAGGCAACGAUGCGUAGCCGACCUGAGAGGGUGAUCGGCCAGCCUGGGAGUGAGCCCCGGCCCAGACUCCUACGGGAGGCAGCAGUAGGGAAUCUUCCGCAAUGGACGAAAGUCUGACGGAGCAACGCCGCGUGAGUGAUGAAGGCUUUCGGGUCGUAAAACUCUGUUGUUAGGGAAGGACAAGUGCUAGUUGAAUAAGCUGGCACCUUGACGGUACCUAACCAGAAAGCCACGGCUAACUACGUGCCAGCCGCCGCGGUAA